UACGUAGGGUGCGAGCGUUAAUCGGAAUUACUGGGCGUAAAGCGUGCGCAGGCGGUCUGUUAAGACCGAUGUGAAAUCCCCGGGCUUAACCUGGGAACUGCAUUGGUGACUGGCAGGCUUUGAGUGUGGCAGAGGGAGGUAGAAUUCCACGUGUAGCAGUGAAAUGCGUAGAGAUGUGGAGGAAUACCGAUGGCGAAGGCAGCCUCCUGGGCCAACACUGACGCUGAGGCGCGAAAGCUAGGGGAGCAAACAGG
rnacentral:rRNA from 1 species